rnacentral:lncRNA from 1 species
GGUUAUCCUUGCAUAGUAGAUACUAUGGCAACCACCUCCAAACUUAAAGCCUACUUGCCAUCCCCGUUGAUAGGGCAAACUGGCACCACCAUGAUGCUUCCGCUCCAACUUCCAAACGGGGGGAGGAGUGGAGUCCAAAUUAAGGCCCCCGUGCGGUGUCCUUCUGGUGGCCCCCAUCCUUGGCCGGGUCCACCUGUCUCCCAUCAUUCAUUACUGGCACAUCAUCAAAAUUUAGUCGGUCGGCC